rnacentral:rRNA from 1 species
UACGAAGGGUGCAAACGUUGCUCGGAAUUAUUGGGCGUAAAGCGCACGUAGGCGGCUUAGCAAGUCGGAUGUGAAAGCCCUCGGCUCAACCAAGGAAGUGCAUCCGAAACUGCUGAGCUUGAGUACUUAAGAGGAUCGCGGAAUUCCCGGUGUAGAGGUGAAAUUCGUAGAUAUCGGGAGGAACACCGAGGUCGGCAGGAACGGCGGAGCCCUGGGAUCAUGGGA